rnacentral:lncRNA from 1 species
CCAGUUAUAUCCAACAUGUAAAAUAAUCAUAACCUAUUCAAAUCCGAAUAUGUAGAAAUGGCCACAUUGUUCUCGAGAACUUACUUUACAUGACCUACAUAAUUUAAUCCUUCGGGACUUUCAUGUAAACUCAGUAUCAAAUGGUACAUAACAUUCAUAAGACGAAUAUCAAUUCUCUCUUUAUAUUACCAGACUACUAAAAUAUUGGAAAGUCAAUGCAUCCACCACUGGAGAAUACGUCUCCUCAUAAUCAAUCAUAGGUCUUUACGAAAAUUAUUGUGCCACCAAUUUUUCCUUAUAUCACUCAAUUUGAUUUUCACAUAAUUCGCAUAAAAGACCUGUUUAUAUCCAACAUAUUUUACAACUUCAGUUGUAUAUACUGUUUGUCCAGAUACUUUCCAUGUCUUUAGAGAAUUCAGCUUUGCCUUAUUUGCGCAGAUCUUAAAUCUUGAUCCUCUCAUUUAAUCAUUUUAAGCGCUACAUUAUAUACAAAAGUAUAACGACGUCGAUUUUUAUUUCGAUUCCAUACAUAUCUUAGACAUGAUACAAUCAUCGAUAUCUCUUUAUUUUCAGGUACCUGAGGUUCUUCUUGAACCAUCAUGUCUAUUGUCUCUUCAAGAGAUCUUAUUACUAUAACAUCGACUUGACCAUCUUAAUUACUUGCUCCAAUUUUCAAGAAAUUUUAUUAUUGGAAUCAACUAGUCUACCACACUUUACGCGUGCAAUAGACUCAUUACAAAAAUAUGUGGUUGUCCUCUUGGGACAAAAAUAUAACUGGAGCAUAAGCAGUUGAUUAUGUGACUUACUUAGUCACUUUAUUUAGGUCAGUGACCUUGUCUGGUAAUUUGUUCUUUAAUAUUGGUAAAUGAAUUAUACUUUAAACUUCUAGUUCAUAGUUUAUAGUCUGAGGAUCAAUAUGACAUGAUAAUUCAUUUCACUUUUCACUUUCCAACUGCUUGUUAUCUCCCCUAAUGUUGGGAACAUUCAUUCACUAAAGUGAAAACCAAUGAGCCAUAAACGAAUACUAAUGCCUUUAAGUAUUUAAUCAUAGACGAUUAUUUAUACCCAACAUAUUCUUAAACUUUUUAGAAGUCCCGUCUUUGUGCGGUAUGGUGGAUAAGUUUCAAUAUAUGUCGCACAACCAAAAUCUUUGAUGAGACAUCUUUGGUUCCUGACCAAAAACCAACUGUAUGGGGAGAACUAUAACUUAUUGGCUUGAUGUGAAUUGAUGGUACUAUAUAUAAAAUUUCAUGUACCUAAAUGAACUUUUUCUCCUCUCAUGAUCAUUGGCUUUGUAACCAAUAAUAUACGUUUAGUGAUCAUCUCAACAAUAACACUUAUUCCAAUUAUCGUUAAUAACUUGGGAAUCAAAUUCACUAUUAUCAAAUAAAUAUACCAAUAUGGAUUAAUGUGUUUGCUAUCACAUUAGCUAAGCCACAAUCACACAAGCUUCAGGUUGUGGAUUUCAUAACCAUUUAGACGAUGCAUCGAUU